rnacentral:rRNA from 1 species
AGAGUUUGAUCCUGGCUCAGGAUGAACGCUGGCGGCGUGCUUAACACAUGCAAGACGAACGAAGCACUUAAGAACGAUUCUUCGGAUGAAGUCUUUUGUGACUGAGUGGCGGACGGGUGAGUAACGCGUGGGUAACCUGCCUCACACAGGGGGAUAACAGUUGGAAACGACCGCUAAUACCGCAUAACCCGCUGGUAUCGCAUGAUACUGACGGAAAAGAUUUAUCGGUGUGAGAUGGACCCGCGUCUGAUUAGCCAGUUGGCAGGGUAACGGCCUACCAAAGCGACGAUCAGUAGCCGGCCUGAGAGGGUGAACGGCCACAUUGGGACUGAGACACGGCCCAAACUCCUACGGGAGGCAGCAGUGGGGAAUAUUGCACAAUGGGGGAAACCCUGAUGCAGCGACGCCGCGUGAGUGAAGAAGUAUUUCGGUAUGUAAAGCUCUAUCAGCAGGGAAGAAAAUGACGGUACCUGACUAAGAAGCCCCGGCUAACUACGUGCCAGCAGCCGCGGUAAUACGUAGGGGGCAAGCGUUAUCCGGAUUUACUGGGUGUAAAGGGAGCGUAGACGGUGAUGCAAGUCAGAAGUGAAAGCCCGGGGCUCAACUCCGGGACUGCUUUUGAAACUGUGUAACUGGAGUGCAGGAGAGGUAAGCGGAAUGCCUAGUGUAGCGGUGAAAUGCGUAGAUAUUAGGAGGAACACCAGUGGCGAAGGCGGCUUACUGGACUGUAACUGACGUUGAGGCUCGAAAGCGUGGGGAGCAAACAGGAUUAGAUACCCUGGUAGUCCACGCCGUAAACGAUG